AUAAGUACAUAGAUUAAGUAACUUCCCCUUCAACUCGUCCUGAGAUCAUCCCUCACCGCUAUUAACAAGUGCACGCCGCCGCCGCCGCCAGAUCACACCACGCCGCCGCUGCCGCCCCCAUAUCAUACCACGCAGCCGUUCAUGACUUCCGGUAAGCCCCGAUCCGGAUUCCCUCGGUUCCCAUAUCACACGACGACGCCGCCGCCGCCGUCACCAUAUCACACCACGCCGCCGCUGUCGUGCAGCCAUUCAUGAGUUCGGGCAAACCCGAUUUGGAUUCCCUUGGAUCCCCUCCGUCCUCCACACUUGGGCCGCCACAAGCCCCGCGACGCCAUCGCGGUGGAUUUUGCCAUCACUCCGCACUGACCAGGGAUGAACGCCCCUGCAUCGCCGACCACGGAUGGACACCAUGCUUCUUCUACAUCUCCAGAGCAGCCGCCAUUUUCUUCGGUUAUUUAGGUGUUUCAAUCUCUCGUACUACUUUCAAUUUCUUGAUUUAUUUGAUCUGUCCUUUCUUCGUUGAAUCUCUGCCCGCGUCGGCCGUUCCUCAACUACAGCCACUCUUUCCAGAGUAAGAUGCCAUAGGUUCCAGUCAACCCCCGCCUCGCCUGUAUGCAUCCCCCUCAAUGAAGAUUUGCAGAAUACUGAACAUGACCUUGGAUGCUUAGACUGUGGUGGCAGCGGCAACAUUCAGGACAGAUAAAUUCAUGAUGCAUGGCUUGGAUGCUGAUUGCAAGGCCGUGAAUGGGCUACUACUAGAUAGUUUCGCAUUAUCUUUUAGAAUGUUAUUCUUCAGUUCAAUGUUUCAAACAAUAUGUUUUAGAAUGUCGGAGAUGUUAAUUGCAAGGUUGAGAAUUAGCCUACUACUAGAUUGUUUCACAUCUUGUAAUCUUUGGAUUGUGCUCAAUGUAAUGCAAUAGAAUCAAUUUAAUAUAUAUGAGACCUUUGGGUUUAUUA